rnacentral:piRNA from 1 species
AUGGAUGAUGUGCGGGUUCAGGAGGUUC